AUAUACAGCUGAGUUUGAAGAAAAUAUGGAAAUUUUGUCACAAGAAGGAAGUGGUGAGGAGGUUGCUUUGGCUGAUAGUUCUCUCUCGGAUUGGCAGGCGCAUAUAAAGCUUAAGGUAGCUAGAUGCCGCAAUGAGCUGCAACAGUACGUUGAAGAAGGGUUCCAUCCUUGUACACCAGAUUUCAACAUCCUUAAGUGGUGGGAUGUGAACUCGGAAAGGUAUCCAAUCCUUGGCAACAUGGCUCGUGAUGUGCUAGCUGUACCAGCUUCAACGGUUGCCUCAGAAUCUGCGUUCAGCGCAUGUGGGAGAGUAAUUACAGAUCACAGAAGUAGCCUAGCACCUGAAACUGUUGAGGCAUUGAUGUGUUAUGGUGAUUGGAUUAGAUCUCGUAAACCUACAAAUGCUGGACAGGAAAACCGCUGUGAAGAACAAAGAGUAGUGGAUCAUCUUGUCUCUGGUACCUGAUGUGCCAUAUGUUAACUGAUAUGUACCUGAGAGGGUUGGAGUGAUUUCUAUUUGGGCCGCCUCUUCAGAAGUACUGGGCAGAGAAGCAGCAGCAAGAUUAGGCAACAAAAGAAGCCCAAACUGAGCUUGCCUCUGAACUUGCCUCUGAACUUGCCUCUGAACUUGCUUCGCCUGGUCGAAUCAGUAGAGCCUUAUGGUCCAUGUAGACCGCCUUCAUCUGCCUGUCUUUUAUUGCUUUUCUCUAGCUUAACAUAUAUCAGUAUAAUUGUGAUGCAACUGAGUUCCAUUGUUUGAGAGGCAUUCUCCUUUUAAAAGAGAUGCUCAUGUGUUUGAGAGGCAUUCUCCUGUCAUUUCUGUUUGUGUUGUUUUGAGAUACUCUGAAUUUAAUGGGACAUUUUCCUGUCAUUUCCA